rnacentral:rRNA from 1 species
UAGGGAAUCUUCCACAAUGGGCGAAAGCCUGAUGGAGCAACGCCGCGUGUGUGAUGAAGGGUUUCGGCUCGUAAAACUCUGUUGUUAGAGAAGAACAAGGGUGAGAGUAACUGUUCACCCCUUGACGGUAUCUAACCAGAAAGUCACGGCUAACUACGUGCUAG